GAUGAACGCUGGCGGCGUGCCUAAUACAUGCAAGUCGAGCGAACAGACGAGGAGCUUGCUCCUCUGACGUUAGCGGCGGACGGGUGAGUAACACGUGGAUAACCUACCUAUAAGACUGGGAUAACUUCGGGAAACCGGAGCUAAUACCGGAUAAUAUAUUGAACCGCAUGGUUCAAUAGUGAAAGACGGUUUUGCUGUCACUUAUAGAUGGAUCCGCGCCGCAUUAGCUAGUUGGUAAGGUAACGGCUUACCAAGGCAACGAUGCGUAGCCGACCUGAGAGGGUGAUCGGCCACACUGGAACUGAGACACGGUCCAGACUCCUACGGGAGGCAGCAGUAGGGAAUCUUCCGCAAUGGGCGAAAGCCUGACGGAGCAACGCCGCGUGAGUGAUGAAGGUCUUCGGAUCGUAAAACUCUGUUAUUAGGAAGAACAAAUGUGUAAGUAACUAUGCACGUCUUGACGGUACCUAAUCAGAAAGCCACGGCUAACUACGUG
rnacentral:rRNA from 1 species